GACCCGUUACCCGGGUUGCGGACAGUGUCUGGUGGGUAGUUUGACUGGGGCGGUCUCCUCCCAAAGAGUAACGGAGGAGCACGAAGGUUGGCUAAUCCUGGUCGGACAUCAGGAGGUUAGUGCAAUGGCAUAAGCCAGCUUGACUGCGAGCGUGACGGCGCGAGCAGGUGCGAAAGCAGGUCAUAGUGAUCCGGUGGUUCUGAAUGGAAGGGCCAUCGCUCAACGGAUAAAAGGUACUCCGGGGAUAACAGGCUGAUACCGCCCAAGAGUUCAUAUCGACGGCGGUGUUUGGCACCUCGAUGUCGGCUCAUCACAUCCUGGGGCUGAAGUAGGUCCCAAGGGUAUGGCUGUUCGCCAUUUAAAGUGGUACGCGAGCUGGGUUUAGAACGUCGUGAGACAGUUCGGUCCCUAUCUGCCGUGGGCGCUGGAGAAUUGAGGGGGGCUGCUCCUAGUACGAGAGGACCGGAGUGGACGCAUCACUGGUGUUCGGGUUGUCAUGCCAAUGGCACUGCCCGGUAGCUAAAUGCGGAAGAGAUAAGUGCUGAAAGCAUCUAAGCACGAAACUUGCCCCGAGAUGAGUUCUCCCUGAGACUU
rnacentral:rRNA from 1 species